GUCGAGAAUCUUUCACAAUGGGGGCAACCCUGAUGGAGCGACGCCGCGUGGAGGAUAAGGUCUUCGGAUUGUAAACUCCUGUCAUGCGUGAACAAGGUUGCUUGGAUAAUACCUGAGCAAAUUGAUGGUAGCGCAAGAGGAAGAGACGGCUAACUCUGUGCCAGCAGCCGCGGUAAUACAGAGGUCUCAAGCGUUGUUCGGAAUCACUGGGCGUAAAGGGUGCGUAGGUGGCGUGGCAAGUCAGAUGUGAAAGCCCGGGGCUCAACCUCGGAACUGCAUCCGAUACUGCCAUGCUAGAGUACUGGAGGGGUGACUAGAAUUCUCGGUGUAGCAGUGAAAUGCGUAGAUAUCGAGAGGAAUACCAAAGGCGUAGGCAGGUCACUGGACAGUUACUGACACUGAGGCACGAAGGCCAGGGGAGCGAACGGGAUUAGAAACCCGGGUAGUCC
rnacentral:rRNA from 1 species